UACAGACCUGAAACCACUGCAGCUCACCAUGCGUGUGCAUGCUUGCUUUGUUGAAUGGAGUUUGGAGUAAUUACAUGGUGCAGUUCUUGUCCACAUUGGAGCAAAAAAGCCUGUAAGCAAACAGCAGACAUUAACACUUCCGAAGGUGACCAUGCAGUUAAGAGCAAAGGAGGAAGCAGAGAAAACAAAAAAGGAUCAGCAAAACAAGUAGCAAACUGCUGUCUAGGAUGAGGAAAGAAGUAUAAAGUGGGACUCAAAAAUCUUUUGAGAGCUGUGCUGCCACAGUAGCCUCGGAAGACAACAUGCAAGGGCUCAGCAGGAGUCGCAGUGGUGGAUAGUGGGGAGAAGAGGACAUGGAUAACCACAUAAAUCACUGCAGAGAUGUGAUUUAUAAAAGCCCUCUGAUACCCUCAACUGGGACUGAAGGCUCUCUCAGGGCAGUGCCGGUCUGGUCCGCCUGGUGGCAAACUGCAUUCACUGGAAGCGCUUCUCCAUGUAGAAGACCAUCGCAGAACUUCUCUUGCUGUGACAGUGUAAUGGGAGGUGGAGACACCUCGAGGAGAAGGUCAAAAGAGACAACAGCAAUUAUAGUCAAUCACAUCAGUGACCUGAGAAAAUCAGGCCCCAAUAUAUGCUUACAUGUGAUCUGUCUACGCCACCUUUCCUAUGUACAGGUAUUUAAAACAAGGCAGGACAUGGGAGUAACAGUUUCCCUUGGAGGAGUGCUAGGAACAGUGUUCCACAGCCUCAGAUAG
rnacentral:lncRNA from 1 species